rnacentral:rRNA from 1 species
CCUACGGGAGGCAGCAGUAGGGAAUAUUGCUCAAUGGGGGAAACCCUGAAGCAGCAACGCCGCGUGGAGGAUGAAGGUUUUCGGAUUGUAAACUCCUUUUGUUAGAGAAGAUAAUGACGGUAUCUAACGAAUAAGCACCGGCUAACUCCGUGCCAGCAUCCGCGGUAAUACGGAGGGUGCAAGCGUUACGCGGAAUCACUGGGCGUAAGGCGCGCGUAGGCGGGAUAGCAAGUCAGAUGUGAAAUCCUAUGGCUUAACCCUAGAACUGCAUGUGAAACUGUUAGUCUAGAGGAGGGGGGGGGUAGGGGGAAUUGGUGGUGUAGGGGUAAAAUGCGUAGAGAUCAAGAGGAAGACGGAUGGCGAGGGCGACUAUCUGGCACAUAACGGACGCUGAGGAGCGAAAGCGUGGGUAGCAAACAGGAUUAGAUACCCGGGUAGUC